AGCUGUCACGCUUGCCCACGGCACGCGACAGCUGUUCCCCUCUGGAGGUUUUGACCUUCAAACUUGUCAGGCCGCGGAGCAAUCCAGCGGCCUUCUUU
rnacentral:sRNA from 20 species